CAGUCGCCACGGUAAUACGAAGGGGGCUAGCGUUGUUCGGAAUUACUGGGCGUAAAGCGCACGUAGGCGGAUAUUUAAGUCAGGGGUGAAAUCCCAGAGCUCAACUCUGGAACUGCCUUUGAUGCUGGGUAUCUUGAGUAUGGAAGAGGUGAGUGGAAUUCCGAGUGUAGAGGUGAAAUUCGUAGAUAUUCGGAGGAACACCAGUGGCGAAGGCGGCUCACUGGUCCAUUACUGACGCUGAGGUGCGAAAGCGUGGGGAGCAAACAGGAUUAGAUACCCCAGUAGUCCCUGUCUCUUAUAA
rnacentral:rRNA from 1 species